UAGGGAAUCUUCGGCAAUGGGGGCAACCCUGACCGAGCAACGCCGCGUGAGUGAAGAAGGUUUUCGGAUCGUAAAGCUCUGUUGUAAGAGAAGAACGAGUGUGAGAGUGGAAAGUUCACACUGUGACGGUAACUUACCAGAAAGGGACGGCUAACUACGUGCCAGCAGCCGCGGUAAUACGUAGGUCCCGAGCGUUAUCCGGAUUUAUUGGGCGUAAAGCGAGCGCAGGCGGUUAGAUAAGUCUGAAGUUAAAGGCUGUGGCUUAACCAUAGUACGCUUUGGAAACUGUUUAACUUGAGUGCGGAAGGGGAGAGUGGAAUUCCAUGUGUAGCGGUGAAAUGCGUAGAUAUAUGGAGGAACACCGGUGGCGAAAGCGGCUCUCUGGUCUGUAACUGACGCUGAGGCUCGAAAGCGUGGGGAGCAAACAGGAUUAGAUACCCUGGUAGUCCACGCCGUAAACGAUGAGUGCUAGGUGUUGGGUCCUUUCCGGGACUCAGUGCCGCAGCUAACGCAUUAAGCACUCCGCCUGGGGAGUACGACCGCAAGGUUG
rnacentral:rRNA from 1 species